UACGAAGGGUGCUAGCGUUGUUCGGAUUUACUGGGCGUAAAGCGCGUGUAGGCGGGUCGUUAAGGUGGGGGUGAAAUCCCGAGGCUCAACCUCGGAACUGCCUUCAAAACUGGCGACCUGGAGCAAGAUAGAGGCAAGUGGAAUUGCGAGUGUAGAGGUGAAAUUCGUAGAUAUUCGCAGGAACACCAGUGGCGAAGGCGACUUGCUGGAUCUUUGCUGACGCUGAGACGCGAAAGCGUGGGGAGCAAACAGG
rnacentral:rRNA from 1 species